rnacentral:antisense_RNA from 1 species
CACCCAGCGUGGCAUGCGACACAGGCGCAGCAAGGUCGGAAUUGGAACAGGGGCCGACCGGAGCGCACGCUGGGGUAGCACAGGGGCCGGUAGUCGGGGGACUGCCGGCCCCGUUCUU